ensembl:lncRNA
GACUGAUGUGGGAGGGGUCCUCUUCUCAGUGAGAUCAUCCAAGUCACCCAUCCUAGAAGUCAGAGGGCUGGAGGUCCAAAUGAAGAAACUGAGGCUCAGAAAGAGUUGGUGGGCCACCCCAGGCUAAGGUCCAGACUUGGACAGAGCUAGAAGAAUAUUAGCUGCCCCUUUAUGGCAGAAUCUGUAUGAGGAGGGGUGGUAGCACCUGGAUGCAAUAUCUCAUUUGAAUGAGGGCAGGCCUUCCAUUAUCCCCAUUUUACAGAUGAGAAAACCAAGACUGGAGAACGCAAGCCCAAAGUCAUUCAGCUGACCCAGAAUUCAGAUCUUUGUUGGUAUGACUUACAAGUCUGUGCUCCAAACCCCAAGGGUGAGCAUGCCUGCCAAAAGUACGGUGCCUCCCUCUCUCUUCCUGGUGAAAGGAGCUCGUUACCUCCAGAGUCAUUAGCUCUAAGAUGAGCUAUUACAGCUAUCACUCUAACCUGGGGGGCUGACCCAGCUGUUCCCUGUUCUCUGGCUUCCUAACUCUGACAGUCAUGUCUAUCCCUUGCUACAGGGUGGAACACUCUCCCUCUAGAAGUCCUUCCUGGAACCUGGCCAUAGUCUUUUCUGUUGCAAGACUGCUCUUCUUGGCAGUCAGAGCUGGUGACUUUGUGAAAGGCAAUUAAAGACCGUGCUAAUGAAAUAAACUCUAGUGGAAACAGCCAGGCUAAGGGUGAAGGAUGGAUGGAGAGAUCAGGCAGGCCCAUGGAGAGACAUCCAAGAGACAUCCAGGAGCAAGCUUGGACAGGGGGAAGUCUCAAGGCCCCUCCAGCCCUAGAUCAAGAGGCUUCCUGGAGCUCCUUCUUACCUGGCCAGAGCUGGAUUGGUGGAUGUCAUCUACCCAGGCGCUGAGCCUCAGGUAGGUGGGCGCCUCGUGUCACACGUUCCCCAAGCCCUCAGUGACUGGCAGCACGUAACAGAUGCACUACCAAGACAGAGCCCUGCUUUCCUGGAGCUCAUAAUUCAGUGAGUAAGGUAGGAUUAAACAAGCAAAUGUUUCAAUACAUAUUUUUAUUUAUUAUUUUUCAUAGUGGUAAAAUAUAUAUAAAUAUAUAUAAAAUGUUUGUAACCAUUUUUAAGUAUACAGUUCAGUGACA